CUACAGUGGUGUUCAAAAUAAUAGCAGUCCCACAUCACUUUAUCAGGACCGUCAGUGUUGAUUUAACUUAUUUCUAAAACAGCGGCGGACUACUUCCAGCUGCGGAGGGACACCCUUUUCCAGCUAGCUGCAAUCUGACGCAGUGACGCAGCAGAGUGCAACUGACCAGGGCGGAGGGAUACGUCAUUCUGCUGGGAGAAGAGACACAGCGAGGAGGUAAGUUAUCUUCUGAAAGUGCUUUUGAGUUUUUGUUGAUAAAAUUUAAUAACAAUGGCAGUUUCUUCUGUGAUAAAAUGGAAUAAAAUCAGCACAUUGACAGAGCUUUGCGAA